AGAGUUUGAUCCUGGCUCAGGAUGAACGCUGGCGGCGUGCUUAACACAUGCAAGUCGAACGAUGAAAGCGGGAGCUUGCUCUUGCUGGAUUAGUGGCGAACGGGUGAGUAACACGUGAGUAACCUGCCCUUGACUCUGGGAUAAGCGUUGGAAACGACGUCUAAUACCGGAUACGACCGAGGCAUCUCCUGAAGGUGGAAAGAAUUUCGGUCAAGGAUGGACUCGCGGCCUAUCAGCUAGUUGGUGAGGUAAUAGCUCACCAAGGCGACGACGGGUAGCCGGCCUGAGAGGGUGACCGGCCACACUGGGACUGAGACACGGCCCAGACUCCUACGGGAGGCAGCAGUGGGGAAUAUUGCACAAUGGGCGAAAGCCUGAUGCAGCAACGCCGCGUGAGGGACGACGGCCUUCGUGUUGUAAACCUCUUUUAGUAGGGAAGAAGCGAAAGUGACGGUACCUGCAGAAAAAGCACCGGCUAACUACGUGCCAGCAGCCGCGGUAAUACGUAGGGUGCAAGCGUUAUCCGGAAUUAUUGGGCGUAAAGAGCUCGUAGGCGGUUUGUCACGUCUGCUGUGAAAACUGGAGGCUCAACCUCCAGCCUGCAGUGGGUACGGGCAGACUAGAGUGCGGUAGGGGAGAUUGGAAUUCCUGGUGUAGCGGUGGAAUGCGCAGAUAUCAGGAGGAACACCGAUGGCGAUGGCAGAUCUCUGGGCCGUAACUGACGCUGAGGAGCGAAAGCAUGGGGAGCGAACAGGAUUAGAUACCCUGGUAGUCCAUGCCGUAAACGUUGGGAACUAGAUGUAGGGACCAUUCCACGGUUUCUGUGUCGCAGCUAACGCAUUAAGUUCCCCGCCUGGGGAGUACGGCCGCAAGGCUAAAACUCAAAGGAAUUGACGGGGGCCCGCACAAGCGGCGGAGCAUGCGGAUUAAUUCGAUGCAACGCGAAGAACCUUACCAAGGCUUGACAUAUACCGGAAAAGUUCAGAAAUGUUCUCCCCGCAAGGUCGGUAUACAGGUGGUGCAUGGUUGUCGUCAGCUCGUGUCGUGAGAUGUUGGGUUAAGUCCCGCAACGAGCGCAACCCUCGUUCUAUGUUGCCAGCACGUAAUGGUGGGAACUCAUAGGAGACUGCCGGGGUCAACUCGGAGGAAGGUGGGGAUGACGUCAAAUCAUCAUGCCCCUUAUGUCUUGGGCUUCACGCAUGCUACAAUGGCCGAUACAAAGGGCUGCAAUACCGUAAGGUGGAGCGAAUCCCAAAAAGUCGGUCUCAGUUCGGAUUGAGGUCUGCAACUCGACCUCAUGAAGUCGGAGUCGCUAGUAAUCGCAGAUCAGCAACGCUGCGGUGAAUACGUUCCCGGGCCUUGUACACACCGCCCGUCAAGUCAUGAAAGUCGGUAACACCCGAAGCCAGUGGCCCAACCGUAAGGAGGGAGCUGUCGAAGGUGGGAUCGGUGAUUAGGACUAAGUCGUAACAAGGUAGCCGUACCGGAAGGUGCGGCUG
rnacentral:rRNA from 1 species